GGCAUGUUUUGCAAAUGGUAGCAUAAAGUGAUGAAGAGGUCUGUUCCAGCAAAGAUAAGGUGGCCCUCCUUGUUUUUGGUACCUGGCUGCUGGGUGGCACAGUGGGUACAAUAUUGGGCCUAGAGUCAAGGAGACCAAAACCGGCCUCAGGGCCUCCCAAACACUGAGCUAAUUCUGGAAAUAUGUGCAUCAAUCUCAUCAUUUAUAUGUACAUCCCUGAAAAGUAUGCUGUCAAGGUAUCCAACAACAGCACUGAAAAAAUCAUGCUAAAAAGCAUGGAAGCAAGUACACAGCCCUACUUCAUUCCAUUGGUGACUAAGAAGACAUGAGAACAUCAUCCAUUAUCUAGAACCCGUGCAAACAUGUGAUAAUGGAAUUGGCAUAAAAUACUGAUGAACUUCUUGGGGCA